AUUGGUAACGAUAGCUUAGGUGGUACACCUCUUCCCAUACCGAACAGAGAAGUUAAGACCUAACACGCCGAAGAUAGUAUAUGCGAAAAUAGGUAGUUGCCAAUU
rnacentral:rRNA from 1 species